rnacentral:rRNA from 1 species
AUGAACGCUGGCGGCGUGCCUAAUCCAUGCAAGUCGAGCGAACAGAUGAGGAGCUUGCUCCUCUGACGUUAGCGGCGGACGGGUGAGUAACACGUGGAUAACCUACCUAUAAGACUGGGAUAACUUCGGGAAACCGGAGCUAAUACCGGAUAAUAUAUUGAACCGCAUGGUUCAAUAGUGAAAGACGGUUUUGCUGUCACUUAUAGAUGGAUCCGCGCCGCAUUAGCUAGUUGGUAAGGUAACGGCUUACCAAGGCAACGAUGCGUAGCCGACCUGAGAGGGUGAUCGGCCACACUGGAACUGAGACACGGUCCAGACUCCUACGGGAGGCAGCAGUAGGGAAUCUUCCGCAAUGGGCGAAAGCUUGACGGAGCAACGCCGCGUGAGUGAUGAAGGUCUUAGGAUCGUAAAACUCUGUUAUUAGGGAAGAACAAAUGUGUAAGUAACUAUGCACGUCUUGACGGUACCUAAUCAGAAAGCCACGGCUAACUACGUG